CUUUCGGGGGGCAGCCGUAGGGAAGAUUGGGCAAUGGGCGAAAGUCUGACCCAGCACUGCCGUGGGAGUGGAGAAGGUCUUCGGGUUAUAAAACUCCGCCUAGGGGGCGGACGAUGUGACGUCCGCGGAUUCCCUUCCCC
rnacentral:rRNA from 1 species